ensembl:lncRNA
GUUUGUCAUCGAGGUUUCAGAAAGCAACUUUAGAAAGCAAAGCAGCAGUCAGCUGGCAGCCAGGACAGCAGGGAAGGAAGGGAGCGGCCAUUGGGCUCAGCCCAAGGACUCUUCUUUAAUGGCUCCCUUUCUGGGUUUUCAUUGUGCUAACCCAGAUAGGGACCAUCUUCUCAGCACAGUGGGCUUCUCUUGCCACGUGUUUCUCUCAGACAAGAGGAAUUCUCCAAGAGGCUCCUCCAUAGCGGGAAGCCCUGGCUGCAGCCAGCCUUCCAGGAACAGAGGCCAGAUAUGCCUGAGCUACACCCGGAUCUGGACCUGGCACACAAGUCACAGGGUCUUCUAUAGCCCAGGCUAGACUCAAACUUACUAUAAAUCAAAGAAUGACCUUGAACUUUUAACAUCAAAAAUGUGAUUCCGUGGAAAAUUCAUGAAAUACCCCUGACCUACUAACGACUGUAGUGUACCCUCAGCACGCUAUGGCCUCGGCUGUCCCUGUCAUGAUCACGUGGCUAACAGUGAGCUUCAGAUCC